rnacentral:lncRNA from 1 species
AGUCUCCCUUCUGGCUUCCACCAGCAGCAUCUCUGGUCCCUUCCCAGGUCUGCUCCCAGACUGCCCUCCGUGACUUCCAUCUCUUGACUUCAACCACUUCAUGGUUUGAACUGCACCUAUCCAGUGCCGUCUCCCAGUACAGAGGGAGCCUAGCCAUACCACCCCCCAGCCCCCAGCCUUGGAUACCUGCUAGUCACCUCUACCUCCCUGUAUUUAGAGCACCUCAGAUCAUUAUCACAACAUUCACUUCUAAACUAACUCCGCCUGGGAGUCUCCCUAUCAGCUUGUGAGGCCACGGUCUGGCCCCGUCCCUCACCCCCUUAAGCCAGAAAUUUGGAGAUAAUUUGGAAAUAACCUUUUUUUUUCAGUGUUGAGAACUAAAGACAGAGCCACUGGGCAACUGCUCUCUGUCUAAGCUUUGUCUCCUGCCCAGAAGUCAUCCUUGAUACUUGACAGUCGGCCAUUUAGUAGACCCUCUUAUGUGGGUCUCCCAGAUGUUUCCAGGUAUUUAUUUCACCAGCAUCCUGCUUCUAGCCACCAUUGUCUUGUUCUUAAACUACUGCACUGUCAUCCUAACCUGUCUCCACAUGUACAGGGAGAUGCAUGGAAAUCUGCCUCCCCAUCUCAGAGGGAUCUGUGUACAUUUUUGAACUGCCUUUCCUGAAAUCUCCAGGGCCUCUCCACUGCUUCCAGCGGGAGCUCCAGCCCUUUGGUGGCCUAUGCAAAGUACCCUGAGAUCUCGAAACUGUUUCUGGUACGAGCGUCUCCUUCACCCUCUGUGGCCAAGCUCUCCAGCAGCAAAGAAGUACUGUGGUCCCUGCAGGUGACUUACAGUUCCUCCACUCUCAUCAGCAUGCCUCUCUAAGGACAAUUUUUUCCUCACCCUAGCCACACUCCUCUACCCAUUCACACUUAUCAGGAUCAGCACAGACCUGCAAGCAGCCUGGUGAACAGAAAGUGCCUCAGUGGAGAGGCCCGUGUCUCACUGGGGGCUAAAAUGGUCAUUGACGGCACUGAGGUAGGGUCCAAAGGAGUUUUCCUUGGUUUCUUAACUACUACGGUUUCAUCUGGAGGUAUGGGUUCUGACUACCCCAUUUCCAGAUGUAUAUUUCCAACCAUUUAUUCUUGCAUCUAUACCACAUUUUGCAGUUUCUUGGGAAAGAUAUCAUCACCUAAUGUAAGCACUGGGCCUGUGAUUCCCUCAUGCAAUCCUAAUAGUCUCCUGUU